rnacentral:rRNA from 1 species
AGUCUGCAUGGAGCCGACCUUGAAAUACCACCCUUUAAUGUUUGAUGUUCUAACGUUGGCCCCUUAUCGGGGUUGCGGACAGUGUCUGGUGGGUAGUUUGACUGGGGCGGUCUCCUCCUAAAGAGUAACGGAGGAGCACGAAGGUUGGCUAAUCCUGGUCGGACAUCAGGAGGUUAGUGCAAUGGCAUAAGCCAGCUUGACUGCGAGCGUGACGGCGCGAGCAGGUGCGAAAGCAGGUCAUAGUGAUCCGGUGGUUCUGAAUGGAAGGGCCAUCGCUCAACGGAUAAAAGGUACUCCGGGGAUAACAGGCUGAUACCGCCCAAGAGUUCAUAUCGACGGCGGUGUUUGGCACCUCGAUGUCGGCUCAUCACAUCCUGGGGCUGAAGUAGGUCCCAAGGGUAUGGCUGUUCGCCAUUUAAAGUGGUACGCGAGCUGGGUUUAGAACGUCGUGAGACAGUUCGGUCCCUAUCUGCCGUGGGCGCUGGAGAACUGAGGGGGGCUGCUCCUAGUACGAGAGGACCGGAGUGGACGCAUCACUGGUGUUCGGGUUGUCAUGCCAAUGGCACUGCCCGGUAGCUAAAUGCGGAAGAGAUAAGUGCUGAAAGCAUCUAAGCACGAAACUUGCCCCGAGAUGAGUUCUCCCUGACCCUUUAAGGGUCCUGAAGGAACGUUGAAGACGACGACGUUGAUAGGCCGGGUGUGUAAGCGCAGCGAUGCGUUGAGCUAACCGGUACUAAUGAACCGUGAGG